AGAGUUUGAUCCUGGCUCAGGACGCCUUUGGGGGCGCGCCUAACACAUGCAAGUCGAACGGGGUGCGUUCGAAUGAAGUUUUCGGAUGGAAUUUGGAUGUACCUAGUGGCGAACGGGUGAGUAACACGUGAAUAACCUGCCCUGGAGUGGGGGACAACAGUUGGAAACGACUGCUAAUACCGCAUAAGCCCACAGAGCCGCAUGGCUCAGGGGGAAAAGGAGCAAUUCGCUUCAGGAUGGAUUCGCGUCCAAUUAGCUAGAUGGUGAGGUAAUGGCCCACCAUGGCGACGAUCAGUAGCCGGCCUGAGAGGGCGACCGGCCACAUUGGGACUGAGACACGGCCCAGACUCCUACGGGAGGCAGCAGUGGGGAAUAUUGCACAAUGGGGGAAACCCUGAUGCAGCGACGCCGCGUGAGUGAGGAAGUAUUUCGGUAUGUAAAGCUCUAUCAGCAGGGAAGAAGAAAUGACGGUACCUGACUAAGAAGCCCCGGCUAACUACGUGCCAGCAGCCGCGGUAAUACGUAGGGGGCAAGCGUUAUCCGGAUUUACUGGGUGUAAAGGGAGCGCAGGCGGCAUGAUAAGUCUGAUGUGAAAACCCAAGGCUCAACCAUGGGACUGCAUUGGAAACUGUCGUGCUGGAGUGUCGGAGAGGUAAGCGGAAUUCCUAGUGUAGCGGUGAAAUGCGUAGAUAUUAGGAGGAACACCGGUGGCGAAGGCGGCUUUCUGGACGAUAACUGACGCUGAGGCGCGAAAGCGUGGGGAGCAAACAGGAUUAGAUACCCUGGUAGUCCACGCCGUAAACGAUGGAUACUAGGUGUAGGAGGUAUCGACCCCUUCUGUGCCGGAGUAAACACAAUAAGUAUCCCACCUGGGGAGUACGACCGCAAGGUUGAAACUCAAAGGAAUUGACGGGGGCCCGCACAAGCAGUGGAGUAUGUGGUUUAAUUCGAAGCAACGCGAAGAACCUUACCAGAGCUUGACAUCCACGGAAUUCAUAUGAGAAUAUGAAGUGCCUUCGGGAGCCGUGAGACAGGUGGUGCAUGGUUGUCGUCAGCUCGUGUCGUGAGAUGUUGGGUUAAGUCCCGCAACGAGCGCAACCCUUAUGGUCAGUUACUACGCAAGAGGGCUCUGGCCAGACUGCCGUUGACAAAACGGAGGAAGGUGGGGAUGACGUCAAAUCAUCAUGCCCUUUAUGACUUGGGCUACACACGUACUACAAUGGCGUUAAACAAAGAGAAGCAAGACCGCGAGGUGGAGCAAAACUCAGAAACAACGUCCCAGUUCGGACUGCAGGCUGCAACUCGCCUGCACGAAGUCGGAAUUGCUAGUAAUCGUGGAUCAGCAUGCCACGGUGAAUACGUUCCCGGGCCUUGCACUCACCACCCGUCA
rnacentral:rRNA from 1 species